GAGUUUGAUUCUGGCUCAGGAUGAACGCUGGCGGCGUGCCUAAUACAUGCAAGUCGAGCGAGAACUUAUUAAAUGGAGACUUCGGUCAAAGUGAGAUAAGGGAAAGCGGCGGACGGGUGAGUAAUGCGUGGGAAACCUGCCCUUUAGAGGGGGAUAGCAGUUGGAAACGACUAUUAAUACCCCAUACUCUUGAGUUUUCGCAUGAAGAUUCAAGGAAAGAUUUUAUCGCUAAAGGAUGGUCCCACGUCUGAUUAGCUAGUUGGUGAGGUAACGGCUCACCAAGGCGACGAUCAGUAGCCGACCUGAGAGGGUGAUCGGCCACACUGGAACUGAGACACGGUCCAGACUCCUACGGGAGGCAGCAGUAGGGAAUAUUGGGCAAUGGGGGCAACCCUGACCCAGCAACGCCGCGUGAAUGAUGAAGGUCUUCGGAUCGUAAAAUUCUUUUCUUGGGGAAGAACAAGGUGACGUACCCAAGGAAUAAGCACCGCA
rnacentral:rRNA from 1 species